rnacentral:rRNA from 1 species
AGCUCGUGUCGUGAGAUGUUGGUUAAGUCCGUAACCGAGCGCAACCCUUGUCCUUAGUUACCAGCACGUUAUGGUGGGCACUCUAAGGAGACUGCCGGUGGACAAACCGGAGGAAGGUGGGGAUGACGUCAAGUCAUCAUGGCCCUUACGGCCUGGGCUACACACGUGCUACAAUGGUCGGUACAAAGGGUUGCCAAGCCGCGAGGUGGAGCUAAUCCCAUAAAACCGAUCGUAGUCCGGAUCGCAGUCUGCAACUCGACUGCGUGAAGUCGGAAUCGCUAGUAAUCGUGAAUCAGAAUGUCACGGUGAAUACGUUCCCGGGCCUU